UGAGCAUUCUUUUGCAUUCCUGUACGCUUCUCUGACCAUCGAUUCGUAAACCUGUCAAAACCAUUAUCGUUUUCAGAUUCACUAAUUUAAGGUGCUAUCAUGAUGACAAAUAUUUCAGACUCCUUAAAAAACGACAUAAAAUCUAUUUUUGUCUCAAUAGGAGUAGCACUACUUGUAUUGGGAACGAUCGCCCUUUUUAGAACUUAUUUUAAAUAUUUCAUAAAAUAAACCAAUUGGUCAUUGAACAAGUCUACAAUUACUACUAGGAUCUGGUAAUUGAUAUGGACAAUGAAACUUUAAACUGUAUAAAACAUGUUGUUGUGGACAAUUUUCCUACGACAAUAAAGCUAUAGUUUAU